CACGGUUAUCACCUCUCCUGUUACUGUAUAUACAACAUCUACCCCCCCCCCCCCCCUCCUCCUCCUCCCUUUCGGGCCUCUACCAAAAAAACGAUCUAAAUAUAAAGUCGGGUCAGAAAACGGGAUCUAUUGUUCGCCAAUAGCGCAAGGAAUACAAGGGGGGUCUUUCGCUUGGUCAUCAGGCGUGAUGUUUUGUAAGCAUUGAUCAUGAAAUGAAUGCCCACACGGAAGAAUUGCGACGGGUGGUGGGGCUGCGGGUUGGUACACCGCGCCUUCUGAUGUUAAAGCGAGAUCCCUCUUGCAUAGAUAGCAUUUAUAUCCACUCAGUUUAGGAGUUGCUUCGGGAUCUGCAUGUAAGCAAAGUCAUUACCAUGUGCCAGAUCAGCAAGUAAAACAGAAUACAAGCGCCACGUCAGACUUUACAUUUCAUGUUACCGGCUUACCACAACUUCAGCAGUAGCACGAUAAUAGCAUGUUUCUAGACUAUCCAAUGACCAUAUUAGAGAAAAAGGUGCAUGCAUCGUUUUGGAACAAAAGCGAUAUGCUACAAAUAACGCGCAUAAGAGAUCGACGGUGAAGGUUUUUCAAAUUCCGAUGGUUUAUUCAAGUUAUGUUGUUGUGAAUUAAUAAUCUGAGCAGAAUGUCCACCGAUAGUUCCUGAAUGCACAGAUGAACCAGUACUGUUACUAUGAAACCCCAUAAAACCAGCAGUUGAAGAUUGACCCGAAGAUUGACCCGUAGCUUGCCGACCAUGAACCAUCUUUAACUCAGUUGAAACCGCUUCUUUUAGACUACCAAGAAAUUCAACCUCAUUGUUGGUUGAGUUCAUUCGGUUCUCACGACAAAACUGAUUAGAGAGCCCGUUAUUGUUACUGUGAAAACCCAUAAAGCCAGCAUCUAAAGUUUGACCCCAAGCCCAAGCCAUAUUUAACUCAUUUGAAGCUGUUUCUUUUAGCUUAUCGGAACUAUCUCUGCUGCCUGCUUGAGAUCUAGAUACAGAUUCUUCAGUACCUCCAAGUCGAAGACUCAAAAAACCAUUAUCCGCAAAAUUUCCUUGAAUCCCACUUUGACUUUGACUGAAACCGGCAUUGUUUCGAGUGUGAACAGGUUGAUUCACAGAUUGUUGACCCCAACUCAUGUUCCAGUCAGGUAACUCUUGUGAAAGAGAUCGAUGAAAAUCCUCCAAAUCGGCGUAUGUGAGGGACAGCAGGGAAUCGAAAGCAUCUUCAUCAAUGUUUCCGUCAAGAAUAGUAAGGCUGCUGGGUGGUGAGAUUCCUCUCGAAGAUGCGCUAUCGGCGGAGACUGGCGCCUUGCCCUUUUCGUUUGUUUUGUUAUUACCCAUCAUCAGAUUACUCUGUCAAAGAUUUUUCUAUAAGUUACCACAGCAUAAUUACUACAUGUUAACAAAAGUAUUCACAACGAAUAUGUAUGUGUGUGUGUGUGAAUGCUAUUCAUCUCCAAAACCAAUCAAACGCCCAAUUAAGUCAAAUUAACCCCAAAAAGUCAACGAACGUGUAUGUAUGACUAACAGAAAUCAAUCACAAACAAUCGAUAUGCACACAAUCCGCCAUACAACGACCAACAAAACAAAAUAGGACACGAUCCGAACAUAAACGAAGACAAAUUUGAUCAAAUAAUCACAAAAUUACAGUCAAAUAAACAAAAACCCUAUCAUUUCAGGCGAAAAUCCCAAAUACUAACCGACUCACAAUAAUACCGAUAAAUGUGAUCAAAUUACUGUAAUAGUUAGCUUAAGAGCUACGAAACCUAACAAUCAACAGUUAAUCGUAAUCAUCACACAGCAAAAUCAAUCGCAAUCAAAGAUCCUACAAUAACGCUCAGCAACAAACAAAACAAACAAUCGCAAAACAAAAAACUCAACGAUCGGAACCGAAAUAAAGAUAAAUGUAAUCAGAUCGCAAAACAAAAAACUCAACGAUCGGAACCGAAAUAAAGAUAAAUGUAAUCAGAUAAUCAUAAUAUUACAGUGAAAUGAACAAAAACCCUUCGAUUUUAAGGGAAAACCCUCACACUAACCGACUCAUAAUAACACCGACAAAUGUGAUCAAAUUACUGCAAUAGUUAAUCAUAACAAUCGACAGUUAAUCAUAUCAUCAC
rnacentral:lncRNA from 1 species